AGUGAACGCUGGCGGCGUGCCUAAUACAUGCAAGUCGAACGGACAAGUAAGAGCUUGCUCUUAUGAGUUAGUGGCGCACGGGUGAGUAAUGUAUAGCUAAUCUGCCCUACACUAGAGGACAACAGUUGGAAACGACUGCUAAUACUCUAUACUCCUCUCUAGCAUAAGUUAGAUAGGGAAAGUUUUUCGGUGUAGGAUGAGGCUAUAUUGUAUCAGCUAGUUGGUGAGGUAAUGGCUCACCAAGGCUAUGACGCAUAACUGGUCUGAGAGGAUGAUCAGUCACACUGGAACUGAGACACGGUCCAGACUCCUACGGGAGGCAGCAGUAGGGAAUAUUGCUCAAUGGGGGAAACCCUGAAGCAGCAACGCCGCGUGGAGGAUGACACUUUUCGGAGCGUAAACUCCUUUUGUUAGGGAAGAACAAUGACGGUACCUAACGAAUAAGCACCGGCUAACUCCGUGCCAGCAGCCGCGGUAAUACGGAGGGUGCAAGCGUUACUCGGAAUCACUGGGCGUAAAGGACGCGUAGGCGGAUUAUCAAGUCUCUUGUGAAAUCCUAUGGCUUAACCAUAGAACUGCUUGGGAAACUGAUAAUCUAGAGUGAGGGAGAGGCAGAUGGAAUUGGUGGUGUAGGGGUAAAAUCCGUAGAGAUCACCAGGAAUACCCAUUGCGAAGGCGAUCUGCUGGAACUCAACUGACGCUAUGCGUGAAAGCGUGGGGAGCAAACAGG
rnacentral:rRNA from 1 species